rnacentral:rRNA from 1 species
GACGAACGCUGGCGGCGUGCUUAACACAUGCAAGUCGAGCGGAGCGGAGAACGGGUGAGUAAAGCGUGAGUAACUGCCCCCCUCUCUGGGGUAACAGAUGGAAACGGCUGCUAAUACCGGAUAGUGGGGGAUGACUCGCGUCCAAUCAGCUUGUGGGUGGGGUAGGGGACUACCAAGGCGACGACGGGUAGCCCGCCUGAGAGGGCGAACGGCCACAUUGGGCGGAGAGACGGCCCAGACGCGUACGGGGGGCAUCGGGGGUGAAUAUUGCACAAUGGGGGAACCCCUGGUGCAGAAGCGCCGCGGUCGGGAUGACUGCCUUCGGGUUGUAAACCGCUUUCAGCCAUGACGCGGUAGUGGCAGAAGAAGCACCGGCUAACUACGUGCCAGCAGCCGCGGUAAUAC